rnacentral:rRNA from 1 species
AACGAACGCUGGCGGCAUGCCUAACACAUGCAAGUCGAACGAGACCUUCGGGUCUAGUGGCGCACGGGUGCGUAACGCGUGGGAACCUGCCCUUAGGUUCGGAAUAACUCCCCGAAAGGGGUGCUAAUACCGGAUAAUGUCUUCGGACCAAAGAUUUAUCGCCUUUGGAUGGGCCCGCGUUGGAUUAGCUAGUUGGUAGGGUAAAAGCCUACCAAGGCGACGAUCCAUAGCUGGUCUGAGAGGAUGAUCAGCCACACUGGGACUGAGACACGGCCCAGACUCCUACGGGAGGCAGCAGUGGGGAAUAUUGGACAAUGGGCGAAAGCCUGAUCAAGCAAUGCCGCGUGAGUGAUGAAGGCCUUAGGGUUGUAAAGCCCUUUUACCCGGGAUGAUAAUGACAGUACCGGGAGAAUAAGCUCCGGCUAACUACGUG